UACGUAGGUGGCAAGCGUUAUCCGGAAUUAUUGGGCGUAAAGAGCGCGCAGGUGGUUAAUUAAGUCUGAUGUGAAAGCCCACGGCUUAACCGUGGAGGGUCAUUGGAAACUGGUUGACUUGAGUGCAGAAGAGGGAAGUGGAAUUCCAUGUGUAGCGGUGAAAUGCGUAGAGAUAUGGAGGAGCACCAGUGGCGAAGGCGGCUUCCUGGUCUGCAACUGACACUGAGGCGCGAAAGCGUGGGGAGCAAACAGG
rnacentral:rRNA from 1 species